rnacentral:lncRNA from 1 species
AUUUUUUUGGUGCGAAACAAUCAAUCAAAAAAUGAAUUUAUCACUAUAAACAACUCUAAAUUUUAGUACAAAUUAAUAUAGAAAAUGAAAUAAACAACAAUUUAAAUGAUAAUACUAUGGUAUCCUAAAUAUAAUAUGUGCUCAUCUUCCAUGAACAUUUGUUAAUGCUUCUGUGUUCUCUUUUGAUACUUGUCCUUGAUCCAGUGAAAUCCGGCGGUGGCGCCGGUCUUCAUUUUCCUCAUGCUAGUGGUGGCCGCCGCCUUAGUUUUAUCCAACUUGUCGCCGACCUUGCCGGAAAAUUUGGGAGUACCACCAGAUUUGGCGUUGCUGUUGUAAUUAUACAUCGGCUCUGGAUCCCAUUGAUCAGCCCAUGAGGUUUCAUACGAAGUGUUUGAUGCCAUUAAUAUAAAGAGAAAAUUUUGUUUUAAGGUUGUUUGAUUCAAGAGAUUUACAACGUGGGAUUGGGCUUUUAUAUAGGAAUUUCCGAACGGCGGUGAUAAUAAUUUAACCUAAUUUUCAACAAGACGGCGC